AGCAGCUGCUUCGCUUAGCGCAAAGAUUGAAAACCGGGGAAACAACUAGCCUGGCACUGUCUGAAGGUAACAAAAUUUGCCUACCGGCACCUGUAAAACUCACUAAUUGGCAUGUUAUAUCUUGUUUGUUCAAUCUGUACAAAAAACAAAGA